UACGUAGGGUGCAGGCGUUAAUCGGAAUUACUGGGCGUAAAGCGUGCGCAGGCGGUCUUUUAAGUCAGAUGUGAAAUCCCCGGGCUUAACCUGGGGACUGCAUUUGUGACUGCAUCGCUGGAGUGCGGCAGAGGGGGAUGGAAUUCCGCGUGUAGCAGUGAAAUGCGUAGAUAUGCGGAGGAACACCGAUGGCGAAGGCAAUCCCCUGGGCCUGCACUGACGCUCAUGCACGAAAGCGUGGGGAGCAAACAGG
rnacentral:rRNA from 1 species